GUGAGGAAUAUUGGUCAAUGGGCGGGAGCCUGAACCAGCCAAGUCGCGUGAAGGAAGAAGGAUCUAUGGUUCGUAAACUUCUUUUGCAGGGGAAUAAAGUGCAGGACGUGUCCUGUUUUGUAUGUACCCUGAGAAUAAGGAUCGGCUAACUCCGUGCCAGCAGCCGCGGUAAUACGGAGGAUCCGAGCGUUAUCCGGAUUUAUUGGGUUUAAAGGGUGCGUAGGUGGUUUGAUAAGUCAGCGGUGAAAGUUUGCAGCUUAACUGCAAAAAUGCCGUUGAAACUGUCGGACUUGAGUGUAAAUGAGGUAGGCGGAAUGCGUGGUGUAGCGGUGAAAUGCAUAGAUAUCACGCAGAACUCCGAUUGCGAAGGCAGCUUACUAAGCUACAACUGACACUGAAGCACGAAAGCGUGGGGAUCAAACAGGAUUAGAAACCCGGGUAGUCC
rnacentral:rRNA from 1 species